AGCCCGCUCAGAAACUACAAAUGAAUUGACGGGGCCCGCACAAGCGGUGGAGCAUGUGGUUUAAUUCGAUGAUACGCGAGGAACCUUACCUGGGCUCAAAUGUAUGUUGACGUAUUCUGAAAGGGAUACUUCUUCGGACAAUAUACAAGGUGCUGCAUGGUUGUCGUCAGCUCGUGCCGUGAGGUGUCGGGUUAAGUCCCAUAACGAGCACAACCCCUAUCAUUAGUUGCCAUCAGGUCAAGCUGGGGACUCUAAUGAAACUGCCUACGCAAGUAGUGAGGAAGGUGGGGAUGACGUCAAAUCAGCACGGCCCUUACGUCCAGGGCUACACACGUGCUACAAUGGCCGGUACAAAGGGCAGCUACCUGGUGACAGGAUGCUAAUCUCAAAAGCCGGUCUCAGUUCGGAUCGGAGUCUGUAACUCGACUUCAUGAAGCUGGAAUCGCUAGUAAUCGUGGAUCAGCCAAGCCGCGGUGAAUACGUUCCCGGGCCUU
rnacentral:rRNA from 1 species